rnacentral:lncRNA from 1 species
UGCAUUAUACAGGACAAGUGAUAGACCAUUAGAGACUAUAAGGGUCACCAAGGAAGACCCGAGGCUUGGGAGAGGUUGAGUUCAUUUUUACCUUAAGGUAGUACCUAGGGUCCCUUAAGGUAGUACCUAAAGGCCAUUAAGGUAGUACCUAAGGGCCCUUAAGGUAGUACCUAAGGUACAGUCCCAAAAAACCUUUGGUGGACCUCUUGAGCACUCAAGAGAACUACAUAAUGGGAUGCUCUAAGGGUCACAAAGGAAGACCCAAGGCUUAGGAGAGGUUGAGUUCAAGUUUAGCAAAGUUAGUACCUAGACUCCCUUAAGGUAGUACCUAAAGGUCAUUAAGGUAGUACCUAAAGGCCCUUAAGGUAGUACCUACGGUACAGUCCCAAAAAACCUUUGGUGGACCACUUCAACACUCAAGAGAACCACAUAAUGGGAUGGUCUAAGGGUCACAAAGGAAGACUCGAGGCUUGGGAGAGGUUGAGUUCAAGUUUAGCUAAGGUAGUACCUAGGGUCCCUUAAGGUAGUAUCUAAAGGCCAUUAAGGUAGUACCUAAGGGCCCUUAAGGUAGUACCUAAGGUAUAGUCCCAAAAAACCUUUGGUGGACCACUUCAACACUCAAGAGAACCAUAUAAUGGGAUGCUCUAAGGGUCACAAAGGAAGACUCGAGGCUUGGGAGAGGUUGAGUUCAUGUUUACCUUAAGGUAGUACCUAGGGUCCCUUAAGGUAGUACCUAAAGGCCAUUAAGGUAGUACCUAAGGGCCUUUAAGGUAGUACCUAAGUUACAGUCCCAAAAAACCUUUGGUGGACCUCUUGAGCACUCAAGAGAACCACAUAAUGGGAUGCUCUAAGGGUCACAAAGGGGAACCCAAGAAGCAAAAUCCGGGAGAAAUUUGUUCCAGUUCACAUAUGAGUUUGUUGAGCUGGCCUAAGGGGAAGGCAUUUUCGGUAUGAAAUAACACCUUGGACCAGAGUGCAUGA